rnacentral:rRNA from 1 species
GGGUUUUGCAAUUGGAAUGAGAACAAUUUAAAUCCCUUAACGAGGAUCAAUUGGAGGGCAAGUCUGGUGCCAGCAGCCGCGGUAAUUCCAGCUCCAAUAGCGUAUAUUAAUGUUGUUGCAGUUAAAAAGCUCGUAGUUGAAUUUCUGGAUUUAACUUCUGGUCCGAGGCCUUGUGUCUUGUGUACUGGGUUUGUUGAAUCCAUCUUAAUAGUGAAUGUAACUGGCAUUAAUUUAUCGGUUGCAGGAGCUAUUUCCUUUACUGUGAAUAAAAUAGAGUGUUCAAAGCAGGCAUUACGCCUUGAAUACUUCAGCAUGGAAUAAAAAGAUAGGACUUUGGUGCUAUUUUAUUGGUUUGCACACCAAGUAAUGAUUAAUAGGGAUAGUUGGGGGUAUUCAUAUUUGAUUGUCAGAGGUGAAAUUCUUGGAUUUAUGAAAGAUGAACUUAUGCGAAAGCAUUUACCAAGGAUGUUUUCAUUAAUCAAGAACGAAAGUUAGGGGAU